rnacentral:rRNA from 1 species
AGCCGCGGUAAUACCAGCUCCAUUAGCGUAUAUUAAUGUUGUUGCAGUUAAAAAGCUCGUAGUUGGAUUUCUGACAUAACGGACCUGGCCCGGCGUUCGAACAACGGGCGUUGUGUGCCGGUGGUUUAAUCUGAUUCGCUGGGUCUUUUGGUGUCCUCUGGUCGCCUGGUUCGCUUCUCUGGUCGCUCUUAACGGGGCUGAUCGGGACGGCCGUGGUUUUGUGCCGGAGGUUCGCCGCCCGGCGGAUUGUCCGUUGGUCAUCCUUUAGGAAAACCGUUCUGCCUUUCGUUAGGUCGGUGCGGCGCUCCUAAUCGUUUACUUUGAAAAAACUUAGAGUGUUUAAGGCAGGCUUAUGCCGUGAAUAGGUUAGCAUGGAAUAAUAAGAUAGGACUUCGGCACCUCUGGUGAUUGCCGGUGGGCUGCGUGCUUCGCUUGUGGCUUCGGCUGCUUGUGG